rnacentral:misc_RNA from 1 species
GGGAAAAAAAAAAGGCGAAAAGAGGUGAGAAUUAGAGUAACCUAAAUUUUUGCUUCCCUCUUGUGUUGAUCUGAUUUUAUUAUUGUCAAAACCAAUGCAUCAAAUGUCAACUGGACAUGUUACAGAACAACCACUACUCCAUUGGAUCUAGUAACACCAUAGCUAAAGCCUUAGUUUUAUUUGCUACCUCAGAUAUCAAUGGAAAUAAUCAUUAGGGACAAUCAAAUGAAGGUAGAUAAAAUGAAAGAGAUGAUUCUGUGGCAGAUUAGCUUCUUCCUCCAGUCAUUGAUAUUCUCCUUACUUCACACGGUAACUUGUUUCCACACUCAAAAACCCAUAUCUAUGUUGUUUUCUAGCAUU